GGUUCCGUAGUGUAGUGGUUAUCACUUUCGCGCUUCAUACGCGAAAGGUCUCAGAUUACAUCCUGGACGGAACCA